rnacentral:rRNA from 1 species
CACGCCCUAAACGAUGUCAACUAGCUGUUGGGGGCUUCGGCUCUUGGUAGCGCAGCUAACGCGUGAAGUUGACCGCCUGGGGAGUNACGCGAAAAACCUUACCUACCCUUGACAUGUCUGGAAGGCUAAAGAGAUUUGGCUGUGCUCGCAAGAGAACUGGAACACAGGUGC